AGAACGAACGCUGGCGGCAGGCUUAACACAUGCAAGUCGAGCGCCCCGCAAGGGGAGCGGCAGACGGGUGAGUAACGCGUGGGAACAUACCCUCCGGUUCGGAAUAGCUCAGGGAAACUUGGAUUAAUACCGGAUACGGCCUAGCGGCGAAAGAUUCAUCGCCGGAGGAUUGGCCCGCGUUCGAUUAGCUAGUUGGUGAGGUAACGGCUCACCAAGGCGACGAUCGAUAGCUGGUCUGAGAGGAUGAUCAGCCACAUUGGGACUGAGACACGGCCCAAACUCCUACGGGAGGCAGCAGUGGGGAAUAUUGGACAAUGGCGCAAGCCUGAUCCAGCAAUGCCGCGUGUGUGAAGAAGGUCUUCGGAUUGUAAAGCACUUUCGACGGGGACGAUAAUGACGGUACCGUAGAAGAAGCCCCGGCUAACUUCGUGCCAGCAGCCG
rnacentral:rRNA from 1 species